UACGGGGGGGGCAAGCGUUGUUCGGAAUUACUGGGCGUAAAGGGCUCGUAGGCGGCCAACUAAGUCGGACGUGAAAUCCCCAGGCUCAACCUGGGAACUGCGUCCGAUACUGGAUGGCUUGAAUCCGGGAGAGGGAUGCAGAAUUCCAGGUGUAGCGGUGAAAUGCGUAGAUAUCUGGAGGAAUACCGGUGGCGAAGGCGGCUUCCUGGACCGGCAUUGACGCUGAGGAGCGAAAGCCAGGGGAGCAAACGGG
rnacentral:rRNA from 1 species